UACGUAGGGGGCGAGCGUUGUCCGGAAUCAUUGGGCGUAAAGCGCGUGUAGGCGGCCCGGUAAGUCCGCUGUGAAAGUCCAGGGCUCAACCCUGGGAUGCCGGUGGAUACUGUCGGGCUCGAGUCCGGAAGAGGCGAGUGGAAUUCCUGGUGUAGCGGUGAAAUGCGUAGAUAUCAGGAGGAACACCCGUGGCGAAGGCGGCUCUCUGGGACGGUACUGACGCUGAGACGCGAAAGCGUGGGGAGCGAACAGG
rnacentral:rRNA from 1 species